rnacentral:rRNA from 1 species
AUGGAUUCCAUCUUGGCAAAUGAAACUUGGGAGAUAACUGAUCGUCCUUAUGGGUGCAAACCUAUAGGAUGCAAAUGGGUAUUCAAGAAGAAGCUUAGGCCUGAUGGUACUAUUGAAAAGUACAAGGCUCGGCUCGUGGCUAAGGGUUAUACCCAAAAGGAAGGUGAAGACUUCUUUGAUACUUACUCACCUGUGGCUCGACUGACCACUAUUCGAGUUCUACUUUCACUAGCUGCCUCGCAUGGUCUUCUCGUUCAUCAAAUGGAUGUUAAGACUGCUUUCCUAAAUGGAGAGUUGGACGAGGAAAUUUAUAUGGAACAACCAGAUGGGUUUGUACUAGAUGGUCAGGAAGGGAAAGUGUGCAAGUUGCUGAAGUCUUUGUACGGACUUAAGCAAGCACCCAAACAGUGGCAUGAGAAGUUUGAAAGAACUUUAACAGCUGCAGGCUUUGUUGUGAACGAAGCUGACAAAUGUGUGUACUAUCACCAUGGUGGGGGAUGA